UACAGAGGGUGCAAGCGUUGUUCGGAAUUAUUGGGCGUAAAGAGCUCGUAGGCGGCCUGUUGCGUCCGCUGUGAAAGCCCGGGGCUUAACCCCGGGUCGGCAGUGGAUACGGGCAGGCUAGAGGUAGGUAGGGGAGAAUGGAAUUCCCGGUGUAGCGGUGAAAUGCGCAGAUAUUGGGAAGAACACCGGUGGCGAAGGCGGCUCACUGGCCCGUAACUGACGCUCAUGCACGACAGCGUGGGGAUCAAACAGG
rnacentral:rRNA from 1 species